rnacentral:rRNA from 1 species
GGGUGACUGCGUACCUUUUGUAUAAUGGGUCAGCGACUUAUAUUCUGUAGCAAGGUUAACCGUAUAGGGGAGCCGCAGGGAAACCGAGUCUUAACUGGGCGUUAAGUUGCAGGGUAUAGACCCGAAACCCGGUGAUCUAGCCAUGGGCAGGUUGAAGGUUGGGUAACACUAACUGGAGGACCGAACCGACUAAUGUUGAAAAAUUAGCGGAUGACUUGUGGCUGGGGGUGAAAGGCCAAUCAAACCGGGAGAUAGCUGGUUCUCCCCGAAAGCUAUUUAGGUAGCGCCUCGUGAACUCAUCUUCGGGGGUAGAGCACUGUUUCGGCUAGGGGGUCAUCCCGACUUACCAACCCGAUGCAAACUACGAAUACCGAAGAAUGUUAUCACGGGAGACACACGGCGGGUGCUAACGUCCGUCGUGAAGAGGGAAACAACCCAGACCGCCAGCUAAGGUCCCAAAGUCAUGGUUAAGUGGGAAACGAUGUGGGAAGGCCCAGACAGCCAGGAUGUUGGCUUAGAAGCAGCCAUCAUUUAAAGAAAGCGUAAUAGCUCACUGGUCGAGUCGGCCUGCGCGGAAGAUGUAACGGGGCUAAACCAUGCACCGAAGCUGCGGCAGCGACACUAUGUGUUGUUGGGUAGGGGAGCGUUCUGUAAGCCGUUGAAGGUGGCCUGUGAGGGUUGCUGGAGGUAUCAGAAGUGCGAAUGCUGACAUAAGUAACGAUAAUGCGGGUGAAAAACCCGCACGCCGGAAGACCAAGGGUUCCUGUCCAACGUUAAUCGGGGCAGGGUGAGUCGACCCCUAAGGCGAGGCCGAAAGGCGUAGUCGAUGGGAAACAGGUUAAUAUUCCUGUACUCGGUGUUACUGCGAAGGGGGGACGGAGAAGGCUAUGUUGGCCGGGCGACGGUUGUCCCGGUUUAAGCAUGUAGGCGGAUGUUCCAGGUAAAUCCGGAACGUUAUCAACGCUGAGGUGUGAUGACGAGGCACUACGGUGCUGAAGUGACAAAUGCCCUGCUUCCAGGAAAAGCCUCUAAGCAUCAGGUAACAUCAAAUCGUACCCCAAACCGACACAGGUGGUCAGGUAGAGAAUACCAAGGCGCUUGAGAGAACUCGGGUGAAGGAACUAGGCAAAAUGGUGCCGUAACUUCGGGAGAAGGCACGCUGAUAUGUAGGUGAAGUGGUUUACCCAUGGAGCUGAAAUCAGUCGAAGAUACCAGCUGGCUGCAACUGUUUAUUAAAAACACAGCACUGUGCAAACACGAAAGUGGACGUAUACGGUGUGACGCCUGCCCGGUGCCGGAAGGUUAAUUGAUGGGGUUAUCCGUAAGGAGAAGCUCUUGAUCGAAGCCCCGGUAAACGGCGGCCGUAACUAUAACGGUCCUAAGGUAGCGAAAUUCCUUGUCGGGUAAGUUCCGACCUGCACGAAUGGCGUAAUGAUGGCCAGGCUGUCUCCACCCGAGACUCAGUGAAAUUGAACUCGCUGUGAAGAUGCAGUGUACCCGCGGCAAGACGGAAAGACCCCGUGAACCUUUACUAUAGCUUGACACUGAACACUGGUCCUUGAUGUGUAGGAUAGGUGGGAGGCUUUGAAGUGUGGACGCCAGUCUGCAUGGAGCCAUCCUUGAAAUACCACCCUUUAAUGGCUGGUGUUCUAACGUGGGCCCCUAAUCGGGGUUGCGGACAGUGUCUGGUGGGUAGUUUGACUGGGGCGGUCUCCUCCUAAAGAGUAACGGAGGAGCACGAAGGUCAGCUAAUCCUGGUCGGACAUCAGGAGGUUAGUGCAAUGGCAUAAGCUGGCUUGACUGCGAGCGUGACGGCGCGAGCAGGUGCGAAAGCAGGUCAUAGUGAUCCGGUGGUUCUGAAUGGAAGGGCCAUCGCUCAACGGAUAAAAGGUACUCCGGGGAUAACAGGCUGAUACCGCCCAAGAGUUCAUAUCGACGGCGGUGUUUGGCACCUCGAUGUCGGCUCAUCACAUCCUGGGGCUGAAGUAGGUCCCAAGGGUAUGGCUGUUCGCCAUUUAAAGUGGUACGCGAGCUGGGUUUAGAACGUCGUGAGACAGUUCGGUCCCUAUCUGCCGUGGGCGCUGGAGAAUUGAGGGGGGCUGCUCCUAGUACGAGAGGACCGGAGUGGACGCAUCACUGGUGUUCGGGUUGUCAUGCCAAUGGCAUUGCCCGGUAGCUAAAUGCGGAAGAGAUAAGUGCUGAAAGCAUCUAAGCACGAAACUUGCCCCGAGAUGAGUUCUCCCUGACCCUUUAAGGGUCCUGAAGGAACGUUGAAGACGACGACGUUGAUAGGCCGGGUGUGUAAGCGCAGCGAUGCGUUGAGCUAACCGGUACUAAUGAACCGUGAGGCUUAACCUUACAACGCCGAAG